rnacentral:rRNA from 1 species
UACGAAGGGGGCUAGCGUUGCUCGGAAUUACUGGGCGUAAAGCGUGCGCAGGCGGUUUUGUAAGCCAGAUGUGAAAUCCCCGGGCUUAACCUGGGAAUGGCAUUUGGGACUGCAAGGCUUGAGUUUGGCAGAGGAGACUGGAAUUCCUGGUGUAGCAGUGAAAUGCGUAGAUAUCAGGAGGAAUACCGAUGGCGAAGGCAGGUCUCUGGGCUAGAACUGACGCUCAUGCACGAAAGCGUGGGGAGCAAACAGG